GUUAAAACGCAGCCGUAAAACGCAGCGUAGCAGCGCAGCUGGCGGUGAAGCACGUCUCGUAGGCGGAACCGAGGCGCAAAAGGACACCGGAACAGUCUUAAGAACUAGAUUAAGGUCCCGUCAGACGUCCCUCCACAUUUUUCCGUAUUACUGAAGUCUAUAAAACUCUGACAUGUAGUCGCGGUGUUCUGGGAUGUUCUGGGGGUAAAAUCCGAACCCGAGAACAUGGGGGGUAGACGUGGCGGUGUGUGGAAAUUUCAACGGAGUUUCCUGAAACUCAGAGCGGUGGUUCCGCUCACCGCUGGUAGUUUUCACCCCGCGGCCUGUUCAACACAGGAAGCGCCGGGUUACUGUAAAGACCGGAGAUCAGCUCUGCCUGUGAACGCAACGAACUGAAACUUGUUUUUGUUUGCCAAACGACAUCCCAGUGCUAAAAGGAACAUUCCAGUCUGCUUGUUGGCACAUUCUUGUACACGAGUCUGACAUUCAGAUUUUUCUGCAGAUUCGGUGUCGGCUUCUCACAACGGAUAAGACUUGGAGUCUACAUGGGUUUGGUUGCAUUCAACUGACGUACACUCGCUGAAGCACACAGAAGUCCAGCUCCACCUGGUACACCUUUGUCGUUUCCAGUUACUCCAGUCAAUCUACAUCCAAAGCUUUGGACGCCCGGUCCUCUACCUGCAGCUCCCUGCAGGUCAGGAGUGCUGCUUCACUCUGGUGUCGAUGUGGACCACAGUGGGUGAUCUGCUGCGGGACGUAAAAGCCAAAUAUGUUUCAGUGGAAACUGCACUGUUAAACAACGGUGAGAAUCCAGAUGGCAGAGGAAGCAGAGAGUCGAGCAACCCUGCUGGGCCUACCUGUCCUUGCAGGGAGGUUUCCUGGGAUACCUCUCCUAGUAAACAGCCACGCCCUGCAGACAAACACCUGUAGCUUUCCCAGUUCACACAGCCUUUCACAGGGUUUGUGUCUAAAUCGAUGCCUGGUAUGUGUUUACCUGGGACGUCACCUUCUUCAUCUCCUGCACCAGAAGAAUGAUCUCCUUCGCCUACCACACCAAACCGGUCAGGUCCAGAUGUUUGGACUGUGUCUCUGUGGUGACCAGACCAGGUUUUUUCUUCAUAACUGCUCAUGUUACCUGGUUGUGGUUCAGUUUGACCUUACUAGGAUUUUUACAACACAAAGUGCAUGACUGUAGAGUGGAAGGGAAAUGAUACCUGGUUCUCAAACCUUUCCUAAAAUAAAAAUCUGAAAAGUGUGGUGUGCACGUGUUUUCAGCCCCAACCCCUCUUCCCCAGCCAAUGCUAUCUUAACCUGCUUUUCACAUCUGCACAAUGAAAAUUUAGCUGAUUAUUCUUUGCAAAACAUCACAAGCUCAGUCAGAAUGGUUGAAGAGCAUCUUUCCAAGUCUUGCCCCAGAUUCAGAUUUGGGUCUGGAGUUUGACUAGGCCAUUCCAACACAUGAUUUAAAACAUCCAUUGUAGCUCUGGCUGUAUGUUUAGGGUCGUUUUCCUGCUGGAAGGUGAACCUCCCCGCAGUCUGAAGUGUUUUCCAGCCUCUAAUGGGUUUUCUUCCAAGAUUUUCCAUAAAUCUAGCUCCAUCCAUCUUCCCAUCAACUCUGACUUGCUUCCCUGUCGCUGCUUAACAUCGGCAUACCCCCCAGGACGAUGCUGCCACUGCCAUGUCUCAGUACUGGGAUUGUGUUCGAGGUGAUGUGCAUAGUUACUAUUUUGCCACAGUGUUUUACAUUUCGGUCAGAGCGUUCAGUUUUGUCUCAUCCACCCAGAGCAGCUCCUACAUGCUUGCUGUGUCUCCUGAAUGGCAAACUGAAAACAAGACUUCUGAAGACUUUCCAAUAGCAAUGUGUGGAUCUCUGCAGCUCCUCCAGAGUUAUCGUCGACUCCUCUGAUUAAUGCUAUCCUUGCUCAGCCUGUCAGUUUGGUUGUUGUAGAACCUAACCUUGCUGUAAACCAGAACUUCCUCCAUCACCUGUCUGCUGUGUUCCUUGGUCCUGAUGAUGCUGUUUGUUCUGAAAUGUUCUCUAACGAACCUCUGAGGCCAGAAACAGAACAUCUGCAGUUAGACUCAUUAAUUAACACACAGGGACUGUAUUUAUUGUUUAGUGGACACCUGAUGCCAGAUGUUUCCACCACGUUUAAUUGUGAGGUAUCAAAGUAUCAUUUUCCAUUCACUGCACAGUUAUGCAGCACUAUCUGUUCAAUCAAAUGAAAUACAGUAAUGUGUGUGCUUGUAAAGUAAUAAAUGUGUUUUCAGGGUGGUCAGUCAUGACCGUAGCUAUUAUUCCCUUUCAUGUUGGAGUAUUUCAGCUACCUGGGAGUUGGACGGAGGCUUAGAGUGUUAAUAAAGUCAAACUGCUUUGUGAAACACAUGGAAUAAUGUCAGGUUGCAACGUUGUUUCCACAGCUUCCUUAGUAGAAACGGCUCAUUUGGGUCUGCGGGAUUUCAUCAGUUCAGAGGUUAGGGAUCCUCACUUCCUGCAUCACUUCCACAGGAAGGCGUUGCUGCAGAGAUUGGAUGCUGAGGGACGAGCUGGCAGAGGUGAUGGACACGGUUUUAAACCUUAUGGUGGAAGACGACCUCCACAGACUGAGGAGCACCAUUCAGCUGCAGCUGCCGGUCGAUCAGAUUCAACCUCAGAGAAAUACCUGAAAUUUCUCCCUCAUCACGUUAAAUAGCAUGUUUGCACUUUCUAGGUUCCUGUUUCUUCCUCAUGAAACAUGUUUCGUUUUUUUCUUGCUUUGGAAUUAUGCAAAGUAAAUCACGAGAAAAAACAGGUCUCUCCAUAAAUGAUUUUCUGUUAGAAAUAAAUGUUUAAUUUGAGAGUUCGGGGAAAAGGUGAAGAGCCACUGAACAGAUAAAAUAAACAACCAAUCAGAAACAUUCAAACAAAGAUUUCCAGGAUUUAUCCAUUAGUUUUUGUUUAGUUACCCACUUUUUCUUCCAGCUUUGUAUAAUAUUGCUUUAAAGCUAAUAGCUUGAAACGUUUGCUUCAGCCUGGAUGCUUCGCCCAGGAACGUUCAAAGCUACCAAGUUUCACCAAGGUCCCCGUCAUGAAUCCCAGAUGUCUCCGUUUAUCAGAGCAACCACCUCCAGCAUCUCUGCCGCUCAUCUCCAGGCUGGAACUCCAUGCUGCAUUCAGACGACGGAUGUGAGAAAAGCUGCAGGUCGGCCCUCAGGCUGCUGUGGAGAGGCAAUCCAAACCGACUCUCCUAACGUCAGCCGAAGGCUCGUGUUUCUAUUGGCGGAGCAAAUGGAAGCUAAAGAAGGUUGUUCUGUGUGUACGAGAUCAGAGGAGCAAUCGGAUGAGGCAGAGGAUGUGGGGAACAGAGAGACAUAAUGUACUGCAGGAAGGAUGACAUCAGCAGUUCCUCUGCACCAGAGCAGAGUAAGGCUACAUCAUUACUCCUGUGAUAAUGCUUGACUGUAGAAACUAGUAGCUCUUCAAUGGGAGAACCGCCGUUUUAGGAAGUUUUUCUUUGGUAAUUGAUUUUUUUACCUUUAAUUAAAGAUUGGUCCAUGAGUGUUAACCAGAAAAUAAGGACAUCUCCAUGCUGUGUCCCUCCUGGCCAUAAAAUCUAACUUCACUUCCUUUUUCACACGUAGAACACUGAGAUCUGGGCCCUGAAGGUUCUCACCUUUCUUUAGUAACUUGAAAAGCUUAAGGUCCAGGUAAGCAGAUAAGAGCGUGGUGGCCAAGUAUUCCGAAAUAUUUGAUAACAGACGGACCAGAAAGAGCUCACAGGUUUGAUUUGCUCCUAUUAAAGAAGAAUCCUGGGCCACAAUGGGUCAAGGUGGGUCACAAGAAGGUUGGUUCAUCAAGUCUUAAGCAACGUAGGAGAACUGAGAGACUGCAGGAUGCCCUCAUGAAGGCUGCUGAAGGCACAACUAUGGGAUAUGCACUGAAUAAAUUAGGCCUGCAUGAGCAUCUCCACUCUGACCCAAAGCAACAUCAGAAGUUGACUAGAACAUCUGGAGAAAUUUCCUGUACGGACCUUCUCACCACCACAUUUCAACCUGAUUUAAAGAAGGAAGCUGCAGCACUGAAGUUUAUAAUAAUGUCAGAAUUAUUAUUAACUUAUUGCUAUCUUAUAAUUUUUUUUAUUGCCAGUUUUUAUUAUGAAUGAAGAAGCUGUAAUUUGGACAAAAGAUUGAACAAGAAUAAAACAUUAAAAUAAUCAGAAAAUC